UACACUCCAUCUCUCCCUCUCUCUAUCUUAAUCUUCUUCAUAUCUUCAAGUCUUGUUCUUGAAGAUUCAACAUCCUUUCUAGUAAACUUCAAGAUAGUGUGAAGAUCUAAGGUUGUUCCCAAGGUGUUGUCAAGUGAAUACAAGCUUCCUAUCAUCCCAUAACUUACUUGAAUCUUGAAGGUAUAACACUUAUAUUUAAAUCAUACCUUUGGUUCAUAGUUGUUCUUGAUGAUUUGAAGUUUCUCUUGAAUCUUGAGAUUUUCACUAAACUUGAAAUCUAAAAGAAAUGGGUCAUGAAACAAAUAAAAAAAUGAUGUGUUUCAUGUUCUUGAAUGAUGGAAAAAAAUGCAAGUAUUUGGUGAUUUAUGUAUGAUAUGUUAAAUUUAAAUUACUUCAGCAAAUAAACCUAAAAACAACACAUAUUUGAUGCAUUUAGAUCAACAUAAAAUGUUGAUGCUAUGUUAGUAUGCUUUAGGCACUUGUACAUGAAGAUACAUUUCGAUUUAAAGCUCAAGAAAUGGUAAAAAGGGGUUGUAUGGCAAAAAUGUUUUAGAUCAGGUUAUAAACACUAAAAAUGACAUUAUUUAGUGUAUUAUAAUGGCAUGAAACUUUGACAUAAGUUUGAUAGCUUUACGUGUUGUACAUAUAGCUUAAAAAGUGGUAAAAUAUGUUAAAUUUACAUGAUUUAUGUGCUUUACUUAAGACCUGCACUAUCAUGAGUAUAACCAUUAUUUUAUUCAAUAAAUAACAUGGGUUAUGUUAAAAUUUCAAGUCGUUUCGAUUUGGGAUGGUUCGGGUAAUGUUUGAUGCAAAACUAUGCGGUAAAACCGUUAAAAAUCGCCUUUUCGGAGGACUUUUACAAAACUUUUUUAGAUCAGUAACCAAACUGAUAUUUUUGGUAUAAAAACAAGUAUUUUAACUUAUAUUAAGUUUACUUAGUGUUCGGUUAGUCAUACGUGACUUCCGACGCUCAAAAAUGUUACCGAAACGCUAAAAUAAGUGUUUUUCGACAUAACUAUAAUGGGUUGGUCAUGAGUAAAUUUUAUGUGUUACAAUGUGCUAUGUGUUUUAUAAUAUGUGUAUGAUGACAUGAUAAUACUUGACAAGAUUAUUUGUUUUACGCUUGAGUACAUAUACGCGAAUAUACCAAAAUAAUCAAAAAUAAUAACUUUUCGGGGAAUCUCAAAGUUAUGUGAAAAUUCUAAGUAUCAGAGAAACUUCAUCAUUUUUAUGAAUAUUGUUUAUUAAAUCAUUCUUAUUUAAUUUAGGACAAAUAAAUAAUUUGAGGGAUUGUGUUAGCAUAUAAAAACGCACCCAAAUGUGAGUACAUAGUUCCCCUAUUUUACUGUUUUCAAUUGUUUUGGGGUGAUUCAUAUGUAUCAAAACGAUUUUGAUGUUUUAACGAUGGUUUCACAACGAGUAAGAUGGUUUAUAUCAAACUAAUAACGAUUUCGAUAAUGUGAACGAGCUUGUUGGUUGUAAUUACAUAACAAAUGACAUUCAUUAAUUUCGGCCAAACCGACCAGUAUUAGGUUAUGGUACCAUAGGAUCCGACAAAUCCCGUUAUCAGACCGGACCCAUGGUUAUGUGUGGGUUAGGUGGGUAACGACUGAAUCUGAUGAUUGUUAACUUACCCUUUGGUGGUUUGUUAAUACGAGAACAAGUGGAACGAUGAACGAGUCACAAAGGUUUGAAUGUUGUUAACGAGACGACCAAAAGUAGUUUCACAAUCUAAAACGAGAAUGAUUUAAACGACUAAAGACAUGUUUAACUAAUUAAACGAUCUGGGUAAACGAUUGGAAGCGAUGUCACACAAACGAGGUUUUCGAAACGAUAUAAACUAUACGAAUUUUAUUACGAAAAUAAUUUACGAUUUGGUUUACGAAAAGAAAAUGUUUUGGGUAAAGAUUCAUGGUCUCGAGGUUUACAAAUUAUAACCAAACUAUUUUGAUUCGGUUAUUCAUUUUACGAUACAAAUAUUUUAC
rnacentral:lncRNA from 1 species